ensembl:snRNA U6 U6 spliceosomal RNA
CCGCUCCAGCAGCGCAUAUACUAAAACUGGAACGAAACAGAGAAGAUUAGCACGGCCCCUGCGCAAAUGGAUGACACGCAAAUCCGUGAAGCGUCCGUAUUUUUU